rnacentral:rRNA from 1 species
GCAAGUCGAGGGAGAGGAUUGAAGCUGUCAUUAAAGAUUAUAGGGGCAAACGGGUGAAUAACGCAUAGGAAACUUACCCCAAAGACGAGUAGAACAGAGAGAAAUGGCAGAAAAUACUAGAGAAGUAAUAAAAACGCAUGUUUUUAUUAUUAAAGAUUAUACAUGUCUUGGUUUGAGAUGGCCAUGCGGUGCAUUAGUUAGUUGGUGGGGUAACGGCCUACCAAGACGAUGAUGCAUAGCCGACCUGAGAGGGUGAUC